UUUGAUCCUGGCUCAGGAUGAACGCUAGCUACAGGCUUAACACAUGCAAGUCGAGGGGAAACGAUAGAGAAAGCUUGCUUUUUCUAGGCGUCGACCGGCGCACGGGUGAGUAACGCGUAUCCAACCUGCCCAUCACUUGGGGAUAACCUUGCGAAAGUAAGACUAAUACCCAAUGAUAUCUCUAGAAGACAUCUGAAGGAGAUUAAAGAUUUGUCGGUGAUGGAUGGGGAUGCGUCUGAUUAGCUUGUUGGCGGGGUAACGGCCCACCAAGGCGACGAUCAGUAGGGGUUCUGAGAGGAAGGUCCCCCACAUUGGAACUGAGACACGGUCCAAACUCCUACGGGAGGCAGCAGUGAGGAAUAUUGGUCAAUGGGCGAGAGCCUGAACCAGCCAAGUAGCGUGCAGGAUGACGGCCCUAUGGGUUGUAAACUGCUUUUAUAAGGGAAUAAAGUGAGAGUCGUGACUCUUUUUGCAUGUACCUUAUGAAUAAGGACCGGCUAAUUCCGUGCCAGCAGCCGCGGUAAUACGGAAGGUCCGGGCGUUAUCCGGAUUUAUUGGGUUUAAAGGGAGCGUAGGCCGGAGAUUAAGCGUGUUGUGAAAUGUAGAUGCUCAACGUCUGCACUGCAGCGCGAACUGGUUUCCUUGAGUACGCACAAAGUGGGCGGAAUUCGUGGUGUAGCGGUGAAAUGCUUAGAUAUCACGAAGAACUCCGAUUGCGAAGGCAGCUCACUGGAGCGCAACUGACGCUGAAGCUCGAAAGUGCGGGUAUCGAACAGGAUUAGAUACCCUGGUAGUCCGCACGGUAAACGAUGGAUGCCCGCUGUUGGUCUGAAUAGGUCAGCGGCC
rnacentral:rRNA from 1 species